AUACCUUUCUCGGCCUUUUGGCUAAGAUCAAGUGUAGUAUCUGUUCUUAUCAGUUUAAUAUCUGAUAUGCGGGCCAUAUGAUGACCCAAAAGGUCAUCAUUUGUUUUGAAAAUAAAUUCU
rnacentral:snRNA from 1 species